rnacentral:rRNA from 1 species
UUACUGACGCUAAAGCUCGAAGGUGCGGGUAUCGAACAGGAUUAGAUACCCUGGUAGUCCGCACGGUAAACGAUGGAUGCCCGCUGUUUGCGAUAUACUGUGAGCGGCCAAGAGAAAUCGUUAAGCAUCCCACCUGGGGAGUACGCCGGCAACGGUGAAACUCAAAGGAAUUGACGGGGGCCCGCACAAGCGGAGGAACAUGUGGUUUAAUUCGAUGAUACGCGAGGAACCUUACCCGGGCUUGAACUGCAGGAGAACGAUACAGAGAUGUUGAGGCCCUUCGGGGCUCCUGUGGAGGUGCUGCAUGGUUGUCGUCAGCUCGUGCCGUGAGGUGUCGGCUUAAGUGCCAUAACGAGCGCAACCCUUUUCAUUAGUUGCCAUCAGGUAAUGCUGGGCACUCUGGUGAUACUGCCACCGUAAGGUGUGAGGAAGGUGGGGAUGACGUCAAAUCAGCACGGCCCUUACGUCCGGGGCUACACACGUGUUACAAUGGGGGGUACAGAAGGCGGGAUCAAUGCAAAUUGGUUCAAAUCUUAAAAGCCCUCCUCAGUUCGGAUUGGGGUCUGCAACCCGACCCCAUGAAGCUGGAUUCGCUAGUAA